ACUACUCGCAACGAAGGAAUAUAGCCUUCAGUCAACCUUCACCGAUGAUCAUACUACAUAAAACUCUCUCCAUCUAGAGGAGAGCCUUGGCCGUGUUCGGACAGUUCUACGUCACACUUGCUACAAAUUUCCAGGAGCGAAUAUAACAUGCGCUUAAUUUGCUUCCGGAUGGAGAGAAACAAUAUAUUUUGCCAUAUUUUAGAUAAUUUUAUAAUCUAAAAUAGAGCAUUAUUGAAUAUGACCGAUUUACUCAGUUGCAGGGACAAAUAUAAUUACCAUCGGACACGCAAUUGACUCGUUACCGGAUGAAAAAAGGACACGGCAUAUUCUUUCGUAUUUUGCAUGAUUUGACGCUUUUCAUAGAACCGUUAUUACUGAAAAUUAAAUUUUAAUGAUCUCUUUAAUGGUCUCAAAGCUUGAUAUACGCAUUAUUU